AAUUUCAAAGAUAAAAUGUGACUUUAAAUGAAAAUUUUUUUUUUAAAAUCUAUAAUAAUUGUCUGUAGUGCUUAGAUUUGUUGAUCCAUUGGCAUGAUUGGCACUGGGCAGGGUUUUAGAUUAUUUUUAUAUAAGUCUUGCUGUGUUCGUAAAUUUUUUCAAGUCUCAUAUUAUAUGUCAUUGUUUUCUAUGACAGCAUGUAUAUUUAUAGACCAUUUUGUUAAAUGAAAUUUUUUUUGUCAUUUCAAACAAAUCUAAAACUAAGGGAUUCAAAGUAAGAAGUCAUCAGUACUUUGUAUUGGGAUACAUGUGUAUGUCAGAAAUGAACAUGUCUGCUUAACAAAUUUUUUUACCUACAUAUAUAUGUACACAUUUUUUGAUGACCAAGGCUGCAAUAUUGUCUGGUACAAGGAUAAUCAAACCUAUUAAAAGGAUGAAUAAAAUUCUUAUCGUGGCUACAGAUUCCAGUUUUUUUUCUCCUUACACUAUUUAUCAAGAAAUAUCAGUUUAUUAUAAAUAUAUAUAUAUAUGCAUUAUAAAACAUGCAUAGUUAAGCUAUGUAUGCUCUACCUAGAGCUGAUUUUUGUGUAAAAUGUAAAUUGCACAUUUAUAAUGACCAUUAAAAGUCUUUUUCUCUAUAAAACAUGACUGUAUGCAAAGUUACUACAUGUACUUUUUCCCACAGCUGCAAUAGGAUAUACAUAAUUAUAUGUGUACAAAUACAAAGUUCAGUGUUACUGUUUUGUAUAUUGAGUAUAAUUUUGAGCAUUACUGUAAAUCUAAUAUUGAAUGAUCAAUAAAUAAGAUAUUUACUUUUAA